GUCUUCAAAGAUUGGCAGUAUUUUAGCCAAUGAAGCUAAUCUGAGGUGCGAUUAUUGCUAAUUGAAAACUUUUCCAAUGCACUGUAAUUCAUACAAAUUUUCCUGCUUUGCACCUUUAAAUUCUGCAUUGUAUGUAAUAAUAUAUAUGACUUUUCCCCAUUGAC